UAAAGCAGAAAUAUUUACCAU
ensembl:piRNA 21ur-7728 ncRNA